GAUUCAAGGUCAGAGGAGGAGCAUGUGACCCAAGCAGCAGGGCCAAGGAGCUGGGCCUGAAGCUGCCCAUGGUCAUCUUGGUUUGCCCCAAAAUGAAGCCAGCACAGACAAAAGGCAGAGCCAAGAAACAAACAAAUGAUGGACAACGUGGUUUGAGCAACUCAAUCUGGACACAUCUGACGUACAUGUCUCUCCCCACCCUCCACCCCUGCAAAACAACCUGUUUUUUUGCUUAAGCCAAUGUGAGUUGUACUGAAGUUACUUUUCCCAGGAAUGACCCUGGCUGGGCAGAGGGUGGACCCGUAAGACCCUCCUGAGGUCUGAAUCACUUGCAGAAUUGCAACUCAGUGACUUCCUAAUUUCUGAAAGCGCUCUGGAGGGCGGACAUUCUCGAACACAAGUCUCCAGUGUGGGCUCUGCUCUGAGAAUACUGGCAUCUGCAGCUCUUUUCAAGACUCAGACUUCAGGAUUAUAUAAAUACGUUACCCGUGGGAAUGAGAGUUUGGAAGAGGACGAGAAUGGCCGGGAGUGUCUUUCUGAAACACGGGGUCCUGGGUGCCACCCCAGCCUUUUGGAAUCAGAAUCUCCCAGGCGGAGGGACGCAGUCUGCGGCCAGUGCUUGGGCACAUCUCCCUCAUCGGCAGGGAGACUGGGGGACUCCCGAUUCUAAGGAAUUUAUCAGGGAUUACCUUGCCUGCUUCUAGUUAGAUGAUUUGUGGAAAGCCUGCAUAUCGGUGCACCGCAUGGUUUCCGUGGCCUGUACGUCGCAGGUGUGUCACUGGGCCCCCGGCAGUGCCCAGGUCCUGACAGCCCUCAGCUCCGGCGGGGAGGGGCCCCCGCUGCACUUGGGCCCCCACCCGCCGCCCUGGCCACCGCCGGGACCUCACCUGUCUUACCACUGACUCCAAACCUCCUCAUUCAAUUUCGUGCUGGUUUGAUCCCUCCUGAGACUGAACAUUUUCCGGUGUUUGCAUACUAAUCAUAUUUUCUCUUGGAGACUUUCUCUGACCCUGUUUUUUGCCUGUUUAAUUCCGGUCUUUUCAUGUUUCCUGCCUAGUUUCCACAAACUCUUUAUAUACAAGAUAGCAACUCUNUGGAGACUUUCUCUGACCCUGUUUUUUGCCUGUUUAAUUCCUGGUCUCUUCAUGUUUCCUGCCUAGUUUCCACAAACUCUUUAUAUACAAGAUAGC
rnacentral:lncRNA from 1 species